GAUGAACGCUAGCUACAGGCUUAACACAUGCAAGUCGAGGGGUAACGAGAGGAAAGCUUGCUUUCCUUGUCGACGACCGGCGCACGGGUGAGUAACGCGUAUCCAACCUGCCCCCAACUAGGGAAUAACCUUGCGAAAGUAAGACUAAUACCCUAUAAUUUCCUCAGAUGACAUCUGACGAGGAAUAAAGAUUUAUCGGUUGUGGAUGGGGAUGCGUCUGAUUAGCUUGUUGGCGGGGUAACGGCCCACCAAGGCAACGAUCAGUAGGGGUUCUGCGAGGAAGGGCCCCCACAUUGGAACUGAGGCACGGUCCAAACUCCUACGGGAGGCAGCAGUGAGGAAUAUUGGUCAAUGGGCGGAAGCCUAAACCAGCCAAGUAGCGUGCAGGAUGACGGCCCUAUGGGUUGUAAACUGCUUUUAUACAGGAAUAAAGUUAGCCACGUGUGGUUAUUUGUAGGUACUGUAUGAAUAAGGACCGGCUAAUUCCGUGCCAGCAGCCGCGGUAA
rnacentral:rRNA from 1 species